UUGCUUUAGCAGCAAAUAUACUAAAAUCAGAAUGAUACAGAGAAGAUUAGCAUGGUCCCCGUGCAAGGAUGACAUGAAAAUUCGUGAAGUAUUCCAUUUUUUA